AUAAAUUUAGCACCAAAAUAUCACGAUAUAUUGAAAACAUUAACUACAAAAAUGGCUUGGAUAAUCCAGAACCUUGGAUAAGCGAGUCUUGGAUAAGUGAGACUGUACUGUAUUAUUAUUACAUGUAUUAUUUUCCUGUAUUUAUUAUUAUUAUUAUUACAUGUAUUAUUUUACUUUAUUGUUAUUAAAAGGAUACAUAAGUACAUUUACAUUGAAGAAGAUGAGAAUAAUGAUUUGAUCAGAGUUGGACAGUCUUAUCUUUAAAUUUGAGCUUUAUGUAAAUAUUCAAAAACAUUUCACCUACCGAUGCCUCUAUUAAUGUAAUUUUAUUGGUACAGUAGAGUCUCCCUUAUCCAACACUCGCUUAUCCAACUUUCUGGAUUAUCUAACGCAUUUUUGUAGUCAAUGUUUUCAAUAUAUCGUGAUAUUUUGGUGCUAAAUUCAUAAAUACAGUAAUUACUACAUAGCAUUACUGCAUAUUGAACUACUUUUUCUGCCAAAUUUGUUGUACAACAUGAUGUUUUGGUGCUUAAUUUGUAAAAUCAUAACCUAAUUUGAUGUUUAAUUGGCUUUUUCUUAAUGCCUCCUUAUUAUCCAACAUAUUUGCUUAUCCAACAUUCUGCCGGCCCGUUUAUGUUGGAUAAGUGAGAUUCUACUGUGUAUGUGUGUGUGUGUGUAUAUAUAUAUAUACAUGCAUAGCAUGUUACAUGCAGAGACCACCUUUUGAAAACCACUAGUCAACAAAAGUAUGACUUUGUUAGAAGUCAAUCAUUUGAAGAAGUGGUAUUUAUAAUUGUUUGUGUAAUGGCACACAGGUGACUCAGCUGUUAGACUGAAGAACCAUGUCUUUGAAUUGUCACUAAGAAAUAAAAAAUAAAUAAAGGAAAUCUGCUCCCUCUUCCUUAGGUCCUCCCUUCAGAUAUUUAAACGUGGCUGUCAUGUCUCCUCUCCUUUCGACCACACUGAAUUCUUGCAUUUCUUCUUUUUUUCCAAAGGCCGAAACCGCAGAGAUGGAUGGGUUUCAGGCAGACACGGAGGAAGACGACGAGGACGAUUGCAUCCUUGUGGAGCCGCAUCCCAAGAAAGCAACCGACCCGAAGCCCUCCGAACCCUUUCCGAAGAUGGAGCAAACGGAUGGGGUUGUGGCCUGAGCUUGUCCGCCUUUCCGUUGCUCUGUAUGUAUGUAGAAUCCUUGUAGCCCGUUGUAAAACC
rnacentral:lncRNA from 1 species